UACGAAGGGGGCUAGCGUUGCUCGGAAUCACUGGGCGUAAAGCGCACGUAGGCGGCUUCUUAAGUCAGGGGUGAAAUCCUGGAGCUCAACUCCAGAACUGCCCUUGAUACUGAGAGGCUCGAGUCCGGGAGAGGUGAGUGGAACUCCGAGUGUAGAGGUGAAAUUCGUAGAUAUUCGGAAGAACACCAGUGGCGAAGGCGGCUCACUGGACCGUAACUGACGCUGAGACACGAAAGCGUGGGUAGCAAACAGG
rnacentral:rRNA from 1 species